rnacentral:rRNA from 1 species
GACGAACGCUGGCGGCGUGCUUAACACAUGCAAGUCGAACGGAAAGGCCCUGCUUUUGUGGGGUGCUCGAGUGGCGAACGGGUGAGUAACACGUGAGUAACCUGCCCUUGACUUUGGGAUAACUUCAGGAAACUGGGGCUAAUACCGGAUAGGAGCUCCUGCUGCAUGGUGGGGGUUGGAAAGUUUCGGCGGUUGGGGAUGGACUCGCGGCUUAUCAGCUUGUUGGUGGGGUAGUGGCUUACCAAGGCUUUGACGGGUAGCCGGCCUGAGAGGGUGACCGGCCACAUUGGGACUGAGAUACGGCCCAGACUCCUACGGGAGGCAGCAGUGGGGAAUAUUGCACAAUGGGCGGAAGCCUGAUGCAGCAACGCCGCGUGCGGGAUGACGGCCUUCGGGUUGUAAACCGCUUUCGCCUGUGACGAAGCGUGAGUGACGGUAAUGGGUAAAGAAGCACCGGCUAACUACGUGCCAGCAGCCGCGGUGAUACGUAAGGUGCGAGCGUUGUCCGGAUUUAUUGGGCGUAAAGGGCUCGUAGGUGGUUGAUCGCGUCGGAAGUGUAAUCUUGGGGCUUAACCCUGAGCGUGCUUUCGAUACGGGUUGACUUGAGGAAGGUAGGGGAGAAUGGAAUUCCUGGUGGAGCGGUGGAAUGCGCAGAUAUCAGGAGGAACACCAGUGGCGAAGGCGGUUCUCUGAGCCUUUCCUGACGCUGAGGAGCGAAAGCGUGGGGAGCGAACAGGCUUAGAUACCCUGGUAGUCCACGCUGUAAACGGUGGGUACUAGGUGUGGGGUCCAUUCCACGGGUUCCGUGCCGUAGCUAACGCUUUAAGUACCCCGCCUGGGGAGUACGGCCGCAAGGCUAAAACUCAAAGGAAUUGACGGGGCCCCGCACAAGCGGCGGAGCAUGCGGAUUAAUUCGAUGCAACGCGUAGAACCUUACCUGGGUUUGACAUGGAUCGGGAGCGCUCAGAGAUGGGUGUGCCUCUUUUGGGGUCGGUUCACAGGUGGUGCAUGGCUGUCGUCAGCUCGUGUCGUGAGAUGUUGGGUUAAGUCCCGCAACGAGCGCAACCCUUGUUCACUGUUGCCAGCACGUUAUGGUGGGGACUCAGUGGAGACCGCCGGGGUCAACUCGGAGGAAGGUGGGGAUGACGUCAAGUCAUCAUGCCCCUUAUGUCCAGGGCUUCACGCAUGCUACAAUGGCUGGUACAGAGAGUGGCGAGCCUGUGAGGGUGAGCGAAUCUCGGAAAGCCGGUCUCAGUUCGGAUUGGGGUCUGCAACUCGACCUCAUGAAGUCGGAGUCGCUAGUAAUCGCAGAUCAGCAACGCUGCGGUGAAUACGUUCCCGGGGCU